CGUCAUAUCCAAGAAUAAUCAAGGCUGUAACCGCUGCCAAAGGACAGUGGGGUGGACUGUCAGCUCUCAAACCUUCGUGAGGAGGACACUGUAGAAGCUGUCCCCACGGUGACAAGGACUGGCAGGGACAACAUGCUGCUGAGGCUGAAGAAAGGGCUGAGGGACAAUCGCACCCUCACAGGACAUACCCUCACAGCCCAGGGUGAACCUGGCGUGGGCUACACUGAGCUGACAGAGGAGUGUAGGGCAGCCCAGCCCCCAAAGGGACUCUUAUCAAAUAUAUACAAGAAUUCCUCUGUGUUGCCUUAGGUAAUACAUCUCUCUCUACUACAGGAGCUGGGUCGUGUCAGAGGUCUGGCUGUCAAGCAGACUGAGAUCCCGAGGAAGGCAUCCCACGAGCAGAUGGCUCAGUAUGUCCAAACGCACGAUGCAAAUGUUAAAGAAUAUACUCCAUAUUGACGUUGAAUCAAAUAGAUUGACCACUUUGCUCAGACUGGUUUCUCUUCACUUGCAGAGGGACAUAAUGUGUGCUUGCAAGGUCAGUCUGGUUUAGGGAGGUUCUAGAAAUACAGUACGUUUGAUGCCAUGCCAACUGAUGCCUGUCCCCCUCCCCCACCCCUCCAGGUGUUAGAUACUGCCCAGCGUUGCUCCCCGUCCAGAUCCAUUUUGAUGACAAUAUCCCUGAGAUGAAUGUUGUAUAUAAUGUUAUGGCUAUGAUGGUUACAGGUUUGAAUGAGACAAUGUAUUCCUCUAACAUUAUUCUUUCAAUAAAGUUCAUUGUUUCAUUAAUAUUA